GAUGAAGAACGCAUUGAAAUGCGAUAAGUAAUGUGAAUUGCAGAAUUCAGUGAAUCAUCGAAUCUUUGAACGCACAUUGCGCCCCCUGGUAUUCCGGGGGGCAUGCCUGUCCGAGCGUCAUUACAACCCUCAAGCUCAGCUUGGUGUUGGGCCCCGCCGCCCCGGCGGGCCCUAAAGUCAGUGGCGGUGCCGUCCGGCUCCGAGCGUAGUAAUUCUUCUCGCUCUGGAGGUCCGGUCGUGUGCUCGCCAGCAACCCCCAAUUUUUUUCAGGUUGACCUCGGAUCAGGUAGGGAUACCCGCUGAACUUAAGCAUAUCAAUAAGCGGAGGA
rnacentral:misc_RNA from 1 species